GGUUAAGCGACUAAGCGUACACGGUGGAUGCCCUGGCAGUCAGAGGCGAUGAAGGACGUGCUAAUCUGCGAUAAGCGUCGGUAAGGUGAUAUGAACCGUUAUAACCGGCGAUUUCCGAAUGGGGAAACCCAGUGUGAUUCGUCACACUAUCAUUAACUGAAUCCAUAGGUUAAUGAGGCGAACCGGGGGAACUGAAACAUCUAAGUACCCCGAGGAAAAGAAAUCAACCGAGAUUCCCCCAGUAGCGGCGAGCGAACGGGGAAGAGCCCAGAGCCUGAAUCAGUGUGUGUGUUAGUGGAAGCGUCUGGAAAGGCGCGCGAUACAGGGUGACAGCCCCGUACACAAAAAUGCACAUGUUGUGAGCUCGAUGAGUAGGGCGGGACACGUGGUAUCCUGUCUGAAUAUGGGGGACCAUCCUCCAAGGCUAAAUACUCCUGACUGACCGAUAGUGAACCAGUACCGUGAGGGAAAGGCGAAAAGAACCCCGGCGAGGGGAGUGAAAAAGAACCUGAAACCGUGUACGUACAAGCAGUGGGAGCCUCUUUUAUGGGGUGACUGCGUACCUUUUGUAUAAUGGGUCAGCGACUUAUAUUCUGUAGCAAGGUUAACCGAAUAGGGGAGCCGAAGGGAAACCGAGUCUUAACUGGGCGUUAAGUUGCAGGGUAUAGACCCGAAACCCGGUGAUCUAGCCAUGGGCAGGUUGAAGGUUGGGUAACACUAACUGGAGGACCGAACCGACUAAUGUUGAAAAAUUAGCGGAUGACUUGUGGCUGGGGGUGAAAGGCCAAUCAAACCGGGAGAUAGCUGGUUCUCCCCGAAAGCUAUUUAGGUAGCGCCUCGUGAACUCAUCUCCGGGGGUAGAGCACUGUUUCGGCAAGGGGGUCAUCCCGACUUACCAACCCGAUGCAAACUGCGAAUACCGGAGAAUGUUAUCACGGGAGACACACGGCGGGUGCUAACGUCCGUCGUGAAGAGGGAAACAACCCAGACCGCCAGCUAAGGUCCCAAAGUCAUGGUUAAGUGGGAAACGAUGUGGGAAGGCCCAGACAGCCAGGAUGUUGGCUUAGAAGCAGCCAUCAUUUAAAGAAAGCGUAAUAGCUCACUGGUCGAGUCGGCCUGCGCGGAAGAUGUAACGGGGCUAAACCAUGCACCGAAGCUGCGGCAGCGACGCUUAUGCGUUGUUGGGUAGGGGAGCGUUCUGUAAGCCUGCGAAGGUGUACUGUGAGGUAUGCUGGAGGUAUCAGAAGUGCGAAUGCUGACAUAAGUAACGAUAAAGCGGGUGAAAAGCCCGCUCGCCGGAAGACCAAGGGUUCCUGUCCAACGUUAAUCGGGGCAGGGUGAGUCGACCCCUAAGGCGAGGCCGAAAGGCGUAGUCGAUGGGAAACAGGUUAAUAUUCCUGUACUUGGUGUUACUGCGAAGGGGGACGGAGAAGGCUAUGUUGGCCGGGCGACGGUUGUCCCGGUUUAAGCGUGUAGGCUGGUUUUCCAGGCAAAUCCGGAAAAUCAAGGCUGAGGCGUGAUGACGAGGCACUACGGUGCUGAAGCAACAAAUGCCCUGCUUCCAGGAAAAGCCUCUAAGCAUCAGGUAACAUCAAAUCGUACCCCAAACCGACACAGGUGGUCAGGUAGAGAAUACCAAGGCGCUUGAGAGAACUCGGGUGAAGGAACUAGGCAAAAUGGUGCCGUAACUUCGGGAGAAGGCACGCUGAUAUGUAGGUGAAGCGACUUGCUCGUGGAGCUGAAAUCAGUCGAAGAUACCAGCUGGCUGCAACUGUUUAUUAAAAACACAGCACUGUGCAAACACGAAAGUGGACGUAUACGGUGUGACGCCUGCCCGGUGCCGGAAGGUUAAUUGAUGGGGUUAGCGGUAACGCGAAGCUCUUGAUCGAAGCCCCGGUAAACGGCGGCCGUAACUAUAACGGUCCUAAGGUAGCGAAAUUCCUUGUCGGGUAAGUUCCGACCUGCACGAAUGGCGUAAUGAUGGCCAGGCUGUCUCCACCCGAGACUCAGUGAAAUUGAACUCGCUGUGAAGAUGCAGUGUACCCGCGGCAAGACGGAAAGACCCCGUGAACCUUUACUAUAGCUUGACACUGAACAUUGAGCCUUGAUGUGUAGGAUAGGUGGGAGGCUUUGAAGUGUGGACGCCAGUCUGCAUGGAGCCGACCUUGAAAUACCACCCUUUAAUGUUUGAUGUUCUAACGUUGGCCCCUGAUCGGGGUUGCGGACAGUGUCUGGUGGGUAGUUUGACUGGGGCGGUCUCCUCCUAAAGAGUAACGGAGGAGCACGAAGGUUGGCUAAUCCUGGUCGGACAUCAGGAGGUUAGUGCAAUGGCAUAAGCCAGCUUGACUGCGAGCGUGACGGCGCGAGCAGGUGCGAAAGCAGGUCAUAGUGAUCCGGUGGUUCUGAAUGGAAGGGCCAUCGCUCAACGGAUAAAAGGUACUCCGGGGAUAACAGGCUGAUACCGCCCAAGAGUUCAUAUCGACGGCGGUGUUUGGCACCUCGAUGUCGGCUCAUCACAUCCUGGGGCUGAAGUAGGUCCCAAGGGUAUGGCUGUUCGCCAUUUAAAGUGGUACGCGAGCUGGGUUUAGAACGUCGUGAGACAGUUCGGUCCCUAUCUGCCGUGGGCGCUGGAGAACUGAGGGGGCUGCUCCUAGUACGAGAGGACCGGAGUGGACGCAUCACUGGUGUUCGGGUUGUCAUGCCAAUGGCACUGCCCGGUAGCUAAAUGCGGAAGAGAUAAGUGCUGAAAGCAUCUAAGCACGAAACUUGCCCCGAGAUGAGUUCUCCCUGACCCUUUAAGGGUCCUGAAGGAACGUUGAAGACGACGACGUUGAUAGGCCGGGUGUGUAAGCGCAGCGAUGCGUUGAGCUAACCGGUACUAAUGAACCGUGAGGCUUAACCUU
rnacentral:rRNA from 1 species